CUUGUCCAAGGCACAUACAGCUGGAAGGGUCAAGUCCAGAUUUGAACUUAGGUAUACAGAUUGCCAGAUCUUUGUAUUUUAUUAUUGUUCUGAAGUCAGAACCCACUUCGCCAUCCCCACCAGUGAAUAAUAAGUAUUAUAGAUCAUGUUACAAAACACUUUCAUUUUGAUGAUGAACAAAGUGAACUUAGCCUGAUGGCCAGAGGAAUCCAGUGCCCAUGUAUGUGUGUGUAUAUAUAUAUAUAUAUAUAUAUAUAUAUAUACACACACACAGAAAUAUAUAUAUAUUUGUUUUUUCUCCUUAAGACCUUAAAACCUUGAGAGGCAGAAGAAGUAGGAAGAAGUAAAAGAGAGAAAAGUAAAAGAAAGUCCUCAGAAGAAAGAAAUGCACAGGAACUAAGGGCGCAGAUUUGAAGUGUAUGCCCAGCGACCGGUGAAGACCUCCGGCUCAACAGAGAAAAAUGGAAGCUUUGGUCCCCAGUCGCUCCGGUGAAGAAGCAAAGAUCACCGCAGUCUGAUUUUUACAGACUCCGUACCACUGUUGCAGCCUGUGAUUCUGAGGUGCAAAAUUGGCCAGCCCAGAGAGAAUGGACCAAUUGCUUCGGCUUUAAUUUCCGGUGCUUUACAAAGGCUGAGCUGAAGGCUGCACCACCAGAAGCUUGGAAUUUGCCUGGUCUGCUGGAUGGAGAGAGUCUGACUUGGAUUCUGGGGACUUGGAAAGACAGUCAAAAGACUCUUCCCUUCCCUGAAAUAGCCACGCAUUUGUUUAAAGACCUGAAACCAUUCUGAUGCUGGAAUUUCCCUCUGUGUUUAUGUUCACAUCUGGGUGAUGGUCUUCUGCCACUGGAGGACUUUUAGUGAAUCACUUCAGAGAUUGUUUUUAAUGUUUCCCAGAUGAGAGGGGCUGGCACUCGUCUGUUUUCUGAGGCCUGACAGGGCAGGACUGACCGGGCUUCCCGGCUGGCCGCCUGGAGCUGUUCCUUGGGGGAAGUGGACAGGCAUUUCUUGUCUUUCUGGGAAACCUGCUCCUCUGAGCUCCUGAUCCCCGGGCUCUCUUUCCACAUGAGGAGGGGGGAAAAGGUGGAAUGGAAUAUAAAUAAAAGAGAUAGACUAGUUUUAACUGGUCCAAGAUGUUACGGGCUGCGCUCUCGGUAGCCACUGGCAGCCGGCACCCCUCUGUGUUCCCGGGCUCUGGUUUGCGGUGUCACGGGCUCCAAGAGACAAGGCUGGUUGGGGUCGCUUCCAGAGGGCAGCCUGGGAAGCUCAGGAAGCUGUUGGCUCAGCUCAGGAGUCAU
rnacentral:lncRNA from 1 species